ACAGUGUCUGGUGGGUAGUUUGACUGGGGCGGUCUCCUCCUAAAGAGUAACGGAGGAGCACGAAGGUUAGCUAAUCCUGGUCGGACAUCAGGAGGUUAGUGCAAAGGCAUAAGCUAGCUUGACUGCGAGCGUGACGGCGCGAGCAGGUGCGAAAGCAGGUCUUAGUGAUCCGGUGGUUCUGAAUGGAAGGGCCAUCGCUCAACGGAUAAAAGGUACUCCGGGGAUAACAGGCUGAUACCGCCCAAGAGUUCAUAUCGACGGCGGUGUUUGGCACCUCGAUGUCGGCUCAUCACAUCCUGGGGCUGAAGUAGGUCCCAAGGGUAUGGCUGUUCGCCAUUUAAAGUGGUACGCGAGCUGGGUUUAGAACGUCGUGAGACAGUUCGGUCCCUAUCUGCCGUGGGCGCUGGAGAAUUGAGGGGGGCUGCUCCUAGUACGAGAGGACCGGAGUGGACGCAUCACUGGUGUUCGGGUUGUCAUGCCAAUGGCACUGCCCGGUAGCUAAAUGCGGAAGAGAUAAGUGCUGAAAGCAUCUAAGCACGAAACUUGCCCCGAGAUGAGUUCUCCCUGACCCUUAAAGGGUCCUGAAGGAACGUUGAAGACGACGACGUUGAUAGGCCG
rnacentral:rRNA from 1 species